AUUGAACGCUGGCGGCAGGCCUAACACAUGCAAGUCGAGCGGAGCGGCGGACGGGUGAGUAAUGCCUAGGAAUCUGCCUGGUAGUGGGGGAUGACGUCCGGAAACGGGCGCUAAUACCGCAUACUAUCAGAUUAGCCUAGGUCGGAUUAGCUAGUGGGGGGGGUAAAGGCCUACCAAGGCGACGAUCCGUAACUGGUCUGAGAGGAUGAUCAGUCACACUGGAACUGAGAAACGGUCCAGACUCCGACGGGAGGCACCAGUGGGGAAUAUUGGACAAUGGGCGAAAGCCUGAUCCAGCCAUGCCGCGUGUGUGAAGAAGGUCUUCGGAUUGUAAAGCACUUUAAGUGGGGAGGCGGUACCAAAAGAAUAAGCACCGGCUAACUUCGUGCCAGCAGCCGCGGUAAUAC
rnacentral:rRNA from 1 species